rnacentral:rRNA from 1 species
GUAAGGAAUAUUGGACAAUGGGGGAAACCCUGAUCCAGCCAUGCCGCGUGAGUGAAGAAGGCCUUCGGGUUGUAAAACUCUUUCAGAUGUGAAGAUGAUGACGGUAACAUCAGAAGAAGCUCCGGCUAACUUCGUGCCAGCAGCCGCGGUAAUACGAAGGGAGCGAGCGUUGUUCGGAAUCACUGGGCGUAAAGAGUGCGUAGGCGGUUAUACAAGUCAGGAGUGAAAUCCCAGGGCUUAACUUUGGAAUUGCUUUUGAAACUGUAUAGCUAGAGUCCCGGAGUGGUUAAUGGAAUUCCGAGUGUAGAGGUGAAAUUCGCAGAUAUUCGGAGGAACACCAGUGGCGAAGGCGAUUAACUGGACGGGCACUGACGCUGAGGCACGAAAGCGUGGGGAUCAAACAGGAUUAGAAACCCUUGUAGUCC